GGCCACAUCCAUAUCGCCCUGCAGCCUGGCUACUCACUGAAGCUAAGCAGGGCUGAGCCUGAUCAGUACCUGGAUGGGAGACCAUAUGGGAAAACUAGGUUACUGUUGGAA
rnacentral:rRNA from 1 species